rnacentral:rRNA from 1 species
UUGAACGCUGGCGGCAUGCCUUACAUAUGCCAGUCGAACGGUAACGGGCCUUCGGGUGCCGACGAGUGGCGAACGGGUGAGUAAUACAUCGGAACGUGCCCGAUCGUGGGGGAUAACGAGGCGAAAGCUUUGCUAAUACCGCAUACGAUCUACGGAUGAAAGCAGGGGACCGCAAGGCCUUGCGCGGACGGAGCGGCCGAUGGCAGAUUAGGUAGUUGGUGGGAUAAAAGCUUACCAAGCCGACGAUCUGUAGCUGGUCUGAGAGGAUGAUCAGCCACACUGGGACUGAGACACGGCCCAGACUCCUACGGGAGGCAGCAGUGGGGAAUUUUGGACAAUGGGCGCAAGCCUGAUCCAGCCAUGCCGCGUGCAGGAUGAAGGCCUUCGGGUUGUAAACUGCUUUUGUACGGAACGAAAAGCCUUCUUUUAAUACAGGAGGGUCAUGACGGUACCGUAAGAAUAAGCACCGGCUAACUACGUG